rnacentral:rRNA from 1 species
GACGAACGCUGGCGGCGUGCUUAACACAUGCAAGUCGAACGGAAAGGCCCUGUUUUUGUGGGGUGCUCGAGUGGCGAACGGGUGAGUAAAACGUGAGUAAACUGCCCCUGACUUUGGGAUAAAACCAGGAAACAGGGGCUAAUACAGGACAUGAGAUCUUGCUGCAUGGGGGGGGAUGGUAAGAUACGGCGGUUGGGGACGGAAACGCGGUUCAUCAGUUUGUUGGUGGGGUGGUGGCUUAACAGGGCUCUGACGGGUAGCUAGCCUGAGAGGGUGACCGGCCACAUUGGGACUGAGGUACGGCCAAGACGCCUUCGGGAGGCAGCAGUGGGAGAUAGUGCACAAUGGGCGGAAGCCGGAUGCAGCAACGCCGCGUGCGGGAUGACGGCCUGCGGGGUGGAAACCGCGUGCGCCUGGGACGAAGCGUGAGUGACGGUAAUGGGUAAGGAAGCACCGGCUAACUACGUG